rnacentral:rRNA from 1 species
AGAGCGAACGCUGGCGGCAGGCCUAACACAUGCAAGUCGAACGGACCCUUCGGGGUUAGUGGCGGACGGGUGAGUAACACGUGGGAACGUGCCUUUUGGUUCGGAAUAGCUCCUGGAAACGGGUGGUAAUGCCGAAUGUGCCCUUCGGGGGAAAGAUUUAUCGCCAUUAGAGCGGCCCGCGUCCGAUUAGCUAGUUGGUGAGGUAAAGGCUCACCAAGGCUACGAUCAGUAGCUGGUCUGAGAGGAUGACCAGCCACAUUGGGACUGAGACACGGCCCAAACUCCUACGGGAGGCAGCAGUGGGGAAUCUUGCGCAAUGGGCGAAAGCCUGACGCAGCCAUGCCGCGUGAAUGAUGAAGGUCUUAGGAUUGUAAAAUUCUUUCACCGGGACGAUAAUGACGGUACCGGAGAAGAAGACCCGGCUAACUUCGCGCCAGCAGCCGC